rnacentral:rRNA from 1 species
CCUACGGGAGGCUGCAGUGGGGAAUAUUGGACAAUGGGCGAAAGCCUGAUCCAGCCAUGCCGCGUGUGUGAAGAAGGCCUUCGGGUUGUAAAGCACUUUCAGUGGGGAAGAAAGCCUUGGGGCUAAUACCCUCGAGGAAGGACAUCACCCACAGAAGAAGCACCGGCUAACUCCGUGCCAGCAGCCGCGGUAAUACGGAGGGUGCGAGCGUUAAUCGGAAUUACUGGGCGUAAAGCGCGCGUAGGCGGUCUGAUAAGCCGGUUGUGAAAGCCCCGGGCUCAACCUGGGAACGGCAUCCGGAACUGUCAGGCUAGAGUGCAGGAGAGGAAGGUAGAAUUCCCGGUGUAGCGGUGAAAUGCGUAGAGAUCGGGAGGAAUACCAGUGGCGAAGGCGGCCUUCUGGACUGACACUGACGCUGAGGUGCGAAAGCGUGGGUAGCAAACAGGAUUAGAUAACCCGGUAGUC